rfam:Firmicutes bacterium CAG:552 genomic scaffold, scf58
CGAGAUAAGCAGACGAUCGCGUGAUUUCACGAGGAAAGUCCGAGCACCGCAGAACAGAAUGCCGGCUAACUACCGGUGAAGGCGACUUCAAGGAAAGUGCAACAGAAAUAAACCGCUGCUUUUAUGCGGUAAGGGUGGAAAGGCGAGGUAAGAGCUCACCGGCGCAGCGGCAACGAGGCGCGCUCUGUAAACCCCAUUCGGUGCAAGACGGUAAGGGAAUAUAAGGUUGUUCGCCCUCCCUUCAGUGUCGCUCGAGCGUAUCGGCAACGAUUCGCCUAGAUAGAUGAUCGUCAAAUACAGAACUCGGCUUACAGCUUAUUCUCGGGAU